rnacentral:lncRNA from 1 species
GGUGCGCAAGGGUUGGUAAAAUUGUUGUUGCGGCGGCUAGGGCUUCUUGAAGGACAUCACAAGAAAAACCCUUAUUUCUUCGAAAGGGGUCGAUGCCAUCAACAAAUGCCGAGUCUCCCAAGUCUCCUGCUUCUUCGCCUUCACCACUCCCAACGCCACCACCUUCCCCCCUUCGGGGCUGGCUCUAACGGCUUUUCGGUGACUAAACUGGCAGAAAUCAGCAGUUUCUCGUUUUCAUCUACGAACAAAAAAUCCGAAGAAUGUAGAGGUAGGGAGGAAUGAAGCAGGUGAGGAAGAAGGUCCACAGGUGCGGGGCUUCAGUGAGGAAGAAAUGCGAGAGCAAAG